rnacentral:rRNA from 1 species
GAUGAACGCUGGCGGCGUGCUUAACACAUGCAAGUCGAACGGGAUCCAAGGGGUGCUUGCACUUUUUGGUGAGAGUGGCGAACGGGUGAGUAACACGUGAGUAACCUGUCCUUUUCUUUGGGAUAAGCAUUCGAAAGGGUGUUUAAUACCUUAUGUUCUGUCUGCCUCGCAUGGGGUGGGUGGGAAAGGCUUUGGCCGGAUUUGGGUGGGCUCGCGGUCUAUCAGCUUGUUGGUGGGGUGAUGGCUUACCAAGGCUUUGACGGGUAGCCGGCCUGAGAGGGUGGUCGGUCACAUUGGGACUGAGCUACGGCCCAGACUCCUGCGGGAGGCAGCAGUGGGGGAUAUUGCACAAUGGGCGAAAGCCUGAUGCAGCGACGCCGCGUGGGGGAUGAAGGCCUUCGGGUUGUAAACUUCUUUUGCUCUGAACAAGGCAUGCCAGUGGGUGUGUUGAGUGUAGGGGUUGAUUAGCGCCGGCUAACUACGUG